rnacentral:scRNA from 1 species
CAGCCGAAGCCAAAGGUGAUGCCGAACACGCU